rnacentral:tRNA from 3 species
CGGGGUGUAGCGCAGCCUGGCUAGCGCGUUCCGUUCGGGUCGGAAAGGCCGGAGGUUCAAAUCCUCUCACCCCGA